rnacentral:rRNA from 1 species
UUGAGUGGGGGAUAACGUAGUGAGAGUUGCGCUAAUACCGCAUAUUCUGUGAGCAGGAAAGCAGGGGACCGCAAGGCCUUGCGCUCUUUGAGCGGCCGAUGUCAGAUUAGCUAGUUGGUGAGGUAAAGGCCUACCAAGGCGACGAUCUGUAGCGGGUCUGAGAGGAUGAUCCGCCACACUGGAACUGAGACACGGUCCAGACUCCUACGGGAGGCAGCAGUGGGGAAUUUUGGACAAUGGGGGCAACCCUGAUCCAGCCAUGCCGCGUGAGUGAAGAAGGCCUUCGGGUUGUAAAGCUCUUUCGGCCGGGAAGAAAUCGCAUGGGCCAAUACCCUGUGUGGAUGACGGUACCGGAAUAAGAAGCACCGGCUAACUACGUGCCAGCAGCCGCGGUAAUACGUAGGGUGCGAGCGUUAAUCGGAAUUACUGGGCGUAAAGCGUGCGCAGGCGGUUUUGUAAGACAGGCGUGAAAUCCCCGGGCUUAACCUGGGAACUGCGUUUGUGACUGCAAGGCUAGAGUACGGCAGAGGGGGGUGGAAUUCCACGUGUAGCAGUGAAAUGCGUAGAGAUGUGGAGGAACACCAAUGGCGAAGGCAGCCCCCUGGGUCGAUACUGACGCUCAUGCACGAAAGCGUGGGUAGCAAACAGGAUUAGAUACCCUGGUAGUCCACGCCCUAAACUAUGUCAACUAGGUGUUGGGUGGGUAAAACCAUUUAGUACCGUAGCUAACGCGUGAAGUUGACCGCCUGGGGAGUACGGCCGCAAGGUUAAAACUCAAAGGAAUUGACGGGGACCCGCACAAGCGGUGGAUGAUGUGGAUUAAUUCGAUGCAACGCGAAAAACCUUACCUACCCUUGACAUGCCAGGACCUUGCCAGAGAUGGCUUGGUGCCCGAAAGGGAGCCUGGACACAGGUGCUGCAUGGCUGUCGUCAGCUCGUGUCGUGAGAUGUUGGGUUAAGUCCCGCAACGAGCGCAACCCUUGUCGUUAAUUGCCAUCAUUAGUUGGGCACUUUAACGAGACUGCCGGUGACAAACCGGAGGAAGGUGGGGAUGACGUCAAGUCCUCAUGGCCCUUAUGGGUAGGGCUUCACACGUCAUACAAUGGUCGGUACAAAGGGUUGCCAAGCCGCGAGGCGGAGCCAAUCCCAGAAAGCCGAUCGUAGUCCGGAUUGCAGGCUGCAACUCGUCUGCAUGAAGUCGGAAUCGCUAGUAAUCGUGGAUCAGCAUGUCACGGUGAAUACGUUCCCGGGUCUUGUACACACCGCCCGUCACACCAUGGGAGCGGGUUCCGCCAGAAGUAGGUAGCCUAACCGCAAGGGGGGCGCUUACCACGGCGGGGUUCGUGACUGGGGUGAAGUCGUAACAAGGCA